GGUUAAGCGACUAAGCGUACACGGUGGAUGCCCUGGCAGUCAGAGGCGAUGAAGGACGUGCUAAUCUGCGAAAAGCGUCGGUAAGGUGAUAUGAACCGUUAUAACCGGCGAUGUCCGAAUGGGGAAACCCAGUGCAAUUCGUUGCACUAUCGUUAACUGAAUACAUAGGUUAACGAGGCGAACCGGGGGAACUGAAACAUCUAAGUACCCCGAGGAAAAGAAAUCAACCGAGAUUCCCCCAGUAGCGGCGAGCGAACGGGGAGCAGCCCAGAGUCUGAAUCAGCUUGUGUGUUAGUGGAACGGUCUGGAAAGUCCGACGGUACAGGGUGAUAGUCCCGUACACCAAAAUGCACAGGCUGUGAACUCGAAGAGUAGGGCGGGACACGUGGUAUCCUGUCUGAAUAUGGGGGGACCAUCCUCCAAGGCUAAAUACUCCUGACUGACCGAUAGUGAACCAGUACCGUGAGGGAAAGGCGAAAAGAACCCCGGCGAGGGGAGUGAAAAAGAACCUGAAACCGUGUACGUACAAGCAGUGGGAGCACCUUCGGGUGUGACUGCGUACCUUUUGUAUAAUGGGUCAGCGACUUAUAUUCUGUAGCAAGGUUAACCGUAUAGGGGAGCCGCAGGGAAACCGAGUCUUAACUGGGCGUUAAGUUGCAGGGUAUAGACCCGAAACCCGGUGAUCUAGCCAUGGGCAGGUUGAAGGUUGGGUAACACUAACUGGAGGACCGAACCGACUAAUGUUGAAAAAUUAGCGGAUGACUUGUGGCUGGGGGUGAAAGGCCAAUCAAACCGGGAGAUAGCUGGUUCUCCCCGAAAGCUAUUUAGGUAGCGCCUCGUGAAUUCAUCUUCGGGGGUAGAGCACUGUUUCGGCUAGGGGGUCAUCCCGACUUACCAACCCGAUGCAAACUACGAAUACCGAAGAAUGUUAUCACGGGAGACACACGGCGGGUGCUAACGUCCGUCGUGAAGAGGGAAACAACCCAGACCGCCAGCUAAGGUCCCAAAGUCAUGGUUAAGUGGGAAACGAUGUGGGAAGGCACAGACAGCCAGGAUGUUGGCUUAGAAGCAGCCAUCAUUUAAAGAAAGCGUAAUAGCUCACUGGUCGAGUCGGCCUGCGCGGAAGAUGUAACGGGGCUAAACCAUGCACCGAAGCUGCGGCAGCGACACUAUGUGUUGUUGGGUAGGGGAGCGUUCUGUAAGCCUGCGAAGGUGACCUGUGAGGGUUGCUGGAGGUAUCAGAAGUGCGAAUGCUGACAUAAGUAACGAUAAAGCGGGUGAAAAGCCCGCUCGCCGGAAGACCAAGGGUUCCUGUCCAACGUUAAUCGGGGCAGGGUGAGUCGACCCCUAAGGCGAGGCCGAAAGGCGUAGUCGAUGGGAAACAGGUUAAUAUUCCUGUACUUGGUGUUACUGCGAAGGGGGGACGGAGAAGGCUAUGUUAGCCGGGCGACGGUUGUCCCGGUUUAAGCAUGUAGGCUGAUUGUCCAGGCAAAUCCGGAUAAUCAAGGCUGAGGUGUGAUGACGAGGCACUACGGUGCUGAAGUAACAAAUGCCCUGCUUCCAGGAAAAGCCUCUAAGCAUCAGGUAACAUCAAAUCGUACCCCAAACCGACACAGGUGGUCAGGUAGAGAAUACCAAGGCGCUUGAGAGAACUCGGGUGAAGGAACUAGGCAAAAUGGUGCCGUAACUUCGGGAGAAGGCACGCUGGUGUGUAGGUGAAGUCCCUGCGGAUGGAGCUGAGACCAGUCGAAGAUACCAGCUGGCUGCAACUGUUUAUUAAAAACACAGCACUGUGCAAACACGAAAGUGGACGUAUACGGUGUGACGCCUGCCCGGUGCCGGAAGGUUAAUUGAUGGGGUUAUCCGUAAGGAGAAGCUCUUGAUCGAAGCCCCGGUAAACGGCGGCCGUAACUAUAACGGUCCUAAGGUAGCGAAAUUCCUUGUCGGGUAAGUUCCGACCUGCACGAAUGGCGUAAUGAUGGCCAGGCUGUCUCCACCCGAGACUCAGUGAAAUUGAACUCGCUGUGAAGAUGCAGUGUACCCGCGGCAAGACGGAAAGACCCCGUGAACCUUUACUAUAGCUUGACACUGAACAUUGAGCCUUGAUGUGUAGGAUAGGUGGGAGGCUUUGAAGCGUGGACGCCAGUCUGCGUGGAGCCAACCUUGAAAUACCACCCUUUAAUGUUUGAUGUUCUAACGUUGGCCCCUUACCGGGGUUGCGGACAGUGUCUGGUGGGUAGUUUGACUGGGGCGGUCUCCUCCCAAAGCGUAACGGAGGAGCACGAAGGUUAGCUAAUCCUGGUCGGACAUCAGGAGGUUAGUGCAAUGGCAUAAGCUAGCUUGACUGCGAGCGUGACGGCGCGAGCAGGUGCGAAAGCAGGUCAUAGUGAUCCGGUGGUUCUGAAUGGAAGGGCCAUCGCUCAACGGAUAAAAGGUACUCCGGGGAUAACAGGCUGAUACCGCCCAAGAGUUCAUAUCGACGGCGGUGUUUGGCACCUCGAUGUCGGCUCAUCACAUCCUGGGGCUGAAGUAGGUCCCAAGGGUAUGGCUGUUCGCCAUUUAAAGUGGUACGCGAGCUGGGUUUAGAACGUCGUGAGACAGUUCGGUCCCUAUCUGCCGUGGGCGCUGGAGAAUUGAGGGGGGCUGCUCCUAGUACGAGAGGACCGGAGUGGACGCAUCACUGGUGUUCGGGUUGUCAUGCCAAUGGCACUGCCCGGUAGCUAAAUGCGGAAGAGAUAAGUGCUGAAAGCAUCUAAGCACGAAACUUGCCCCGAGAUGAGUUCUCCCUGAGACUUUAAGUCUCCUGAAGGAACGUU
rnacentral:rRNA from 1 species